rnacentral:lncRNA from 10 species
AUUCUUUUCCUACCUAUUCAAGGAUAUGAACUGUGUUUCUUCACAGAAAUGUCCAAGGAAACUAUAUAUCUUACAUUGGUGAAGACGUAUGAAAAGCAUACAGUUGGACUGAGAAACUGAAUCUUGGUUGCAAUUUACUCACAGAACUGAGGUUUGGAACAUUUCAGGCCUGGCACGGGAUGCAGUUUUUACACAAGUUCAGCGAGGUCUAGUAGCACGAAGACCAACCGCCCAAUGGCCGCUAACUGUUCUACCCGUCGUCGUUUGGAACUCCGCUCGCCUUCCAGGCCGGUUAAGGCUUUUGUCUGUUGAGGUCGGGACUAGGGUAAUCACUUUGAUCAAUAUGAAGAAGGACACUUGGACAUUGAGUAAGCACCAGUUGACAAGCCUACAGAAUCGAUCAGAUGAUCAUUGCUUAAUUUCGGGUCUUAGCCAGUUAGGUAGGUAGUGUUCGU